rnacentral:rRNA from 1 species
GAUGAACGCUGGCGGCGUGCCUAAUACAUGCAAGUCGAGUGAACAGAUGGGGAGCUUGCUCCUCUGACGUUAGCGGCGGACGGGUGAGUAACACGUGGAUAACCUACCCAUAAGACUGGGAUAACUUCGGGAAACCGGAGCUAAUACCGGAUAAUAUAUUGAACCGCAUGGUUCAAUAGUGAAAGACGGUUUUGCUGUCACUUAUAGAUGGAUCCGCGCCGCAUUAGCUAGUUGGUAAGGUAACGGCUUACCAAGGCAACGAUGCGUAGCCGACCUGAGAGGGUGAUCGGCCACACUGGAACUGAGACACGGUCCAGACUCCUACGGGAGGCAGCAGUAGGGAAUCGUCCGCAAUGGUCGAAAGCCUGACGGAGCAACGCCGCGUGAGUGAUGAAGGUCUUCGGAUCGUAAAACUCUGUUAUUAGGGAAGAACAAAUGUGUAAGUAACUAUGCACGUCUUGACGGUACCUAAUCAGAAAGCCACGGCUAACUACGUG